UGAUAGCGUAUAUUAAAUUUGUUGCAGUUAAAAAGCUCGUAGUUGAAUUUUAGGCUGGUUUGCUGCGGUCGACCGUUUGGUUUGAACUGUAAGCAGUGGCCUCUAAUUCUCGAGUCUUGAUUCACUUUAUUGUGGGUUAAAGGCGAGAGAUCUCUACCGUGAACAAAACAGAGUGUUUAAAGCAUGUGUGUGCAUGAAUGAUUAAGCAUGGAAUAGCAAAAUAGGCCGUUGGUUCUAUUUGCUGGUUUGAGAAUCAAUUGAAUGAUUAAUAGGGAUAGUUGGGGGCAUUAGUAUUUCAUAGUCAGAGGUGAAAUUCUUGGACCUAUGAAAGACUAACUUUUGCGAAAGCAUUUGCCAAAGAUGUUUUCAUUAA
rnacentral:rRNA from 1 species